AGCGAACGUUUGCGGCGGGCUUAACACAUGCAAGUCGAACGAGAAUCCCUUCGGGGAGGAAAGUGGCGCACGGGUGCGUAACACGUGGAUAACCAACCCAUUGGUUUGGGACAACACCGGGAAACUGGUGCUAAUACCAGAUGUGUCGCAGCUGUCUUCAGGCGGUUGCGAGAAAGGCCCGCAAGGGUCGCCAACGGACGGGUCCGCGUCCCAUCAGCUAGUUGGUGAGGUAAUGGCUCACCAAGGCAAAGACGGGUAGCUGGUCUGAGAGGAUGAUCAGCCACACUGGAACUGAGACACGGUCCAGACUCCUACGGGAGGCAGCAGUGGGGAAUAUUGCGCAAUGGGCGAAAGCCUGACGCAGCCACGCCGCGUGAGCGAUGAAGGUCUUCGGAUCGUAAAGCUCUGU
rnacentral:rRNA from 1 species